AUACAUGCAAGUCGAACGAGGUCUUCGGACCUAGUGGCGCACGGGUGAGUAACAUGUGGGAAUCUACCUGAAGGUUCGGAAUAACUGCGGGAAACUGUAGCUAAUACCGGAUGUGUCUGCAAAGAGAAAGAUUUAUCGCCUUCAGAUGAGCCCGCACUAGAUUAGCUAGUUGGUGAGGUAAUUGCUCCACCAAGGCUACGAUCUAUAGCUGAUUUGAGAGGAUGAUCAGCCACACUGGGACUGAGACACGGCCCAGACUCCUACGGGAGGCAGCAGUAGGGAAUAUUGGACAAUGGGGGAAACCCUGAUCCAGCAAUGCCGCGUGAGUGAAGAAGGCCUUCGGGUUGUAAAGCUCUUUCAUCAAUGAUGAUAAUGACAUUAGUUGAAGAAGAAGCCCCGGCUAACUUCGUGCCAGCAGCCGCGGUAAUACGAAGGGGGCUAGCGUUGUUCGGAAUCACUGGGCGUAAAGCGUAUGUAGGCGGAUCAAAAAGUUAGAUGUGAAAUCCCUGGGCUCAACCCAGGAACUGCAUUUAAAACUAGUGAUCUAGAAUUUGGUAGGGGCCAGUAGAAUUUCCAGUGUAGAGGUGAAAUUCGUAGAUAUUGGAAAGAAUACCAGUGGCGAAGGCGACUGGCUGGGCCAAUUUUGACGCUGAGAUACGAAAGCGUGGGUAGCAAACAGGAUUAGAUACCCUGGUAGUCCACGCAGUAAACGAUGAGUGCUAGUCGCUGGGACAAUAGUUUCA
rnacentral:rRNA from 1 species